UACGUAGGGUGCAAGCGUUGUCCGGAAUUAUUGGGCGUAAAGAGCUCGUAGGCGGUCUGUCGCGUCGGCUGUGAAAUCCCGGGGCUCAACCCCGGGCCUGCAGUCGAUACGGGCAGACUAGAGUUCGGCAGGGGAGACUGGAAUUCCUGGUGUAGCGGUGAAAUGCGCAGAUAUCAGGAGGAACACCGGUGGCGAAGGCGGGUCUCUGGGCCGAUACUGACACUGAGGAGCGAAAGCGUGGGGAGCGAACAGG
rnacentral:rRNA from 1 species